rnacentral:rRNA from 1 species
GACGAACGCUGGCGGCGUGCCAAAUACAUGCAAGUCGAGCGGACUUUCAAGAAGCUUGCUUUUUGAAAGUUAGCGGCGGACGGGUGAGUAACACGUGGGCAACCUGCCUGUAAGACGGGGAUAACUCCGGGAAACCGGGGCUAAUACCGGAUAAUAUCUUUCUUCGCAUGAAGGAAGGUUGAAAGGCGGCGCAAGCUGCCGCUUGCAGAUGGGCCCGCGGCGCAUUAGCUAGUUGGUGAGGUAACGGCUCACCAAGGCGACGAUGCGUAGCCGACCUGAGAGGGUGAUCGGCCACACUGGGACUGAGACACGGCCCAGACUCCUACGGGAGGCAGCAGUAGGGAAUCUUCCGCAAUGGACGAAAGUCUGACGGAGCAACGCCGCGUGAGUGAAGAAGGUCUUCGGAUCGUAAAGCCCUGUUGUCAGGGAAGAACAAGUACCGUUCGAAUAGGGCGGUACCUUGACGGUACCUGACCAGAAAGCCACGGCUAACUACGUGCCAGCCGCCGCCGUAA